UCGGUGGUGGAUUAGUGGCGAACGGGUGAGUAACACGUGGGCAAUCUGGCCUUCACUCUGGGACAAGCCCUGGAAACGGGGUCUAAUACCGGAUAACACUCUGUCCCGCAUGGGACGGGGUUGAAAGCUCCGGCGGUGAAGGAUGAGCCCGCGGCCUAUCAGCUUGUUGGUGGGGUAAUGGCCUACCAAGGCGACGACGGGUAGCCGGCCUGAGAGGGCGACCGGCCACACUGGGACUGAGACACGGCCCAGACUCCUACGGGAGGCAGCAGUGGGGAAUAUUGCACAAUGGGCGAAAGCCUGAUGCAGCGACGCCGCGUGAGGGAUGACGGCCUUCGGGUUGUAAACCUCUUUCAGCAGGGAAGAAGCGAAAGUGACGGUACCUGCAGAAGAAGCGCCGGCUAACUACAUGCCACCAGCCGCGGUAAUACGUAGGGCGCAAGCGUUGUCCGGAAUUAUUGGGCGUAAAGAGCUCGUACG
rnacentral:rRNA from 1 species